rnacentral:rRNA from 1 species
GACGAACGCUGGCGGCGUGCCUAAUACAUGCAAGUAGAACGCUGAAGGAGGAGCUUGCUUCUCUGGAUGAGUUGCGAACGGGUGAGUAACGCGUAGGUAACCUGCCUGGUAGCGGGGGAUAACUAUUGGAAACGAUAGCUAAUACCGCAUAAUAUUGACUAUUGCAUGAUAGUCAGUUGAAAGGUGCAACUGCACCACUACCAGAUGGACCUGCGUUGUAUUAGCUAGUUGGUGGGGUAACGGCUCACCAAGGCGACGAUACAUAGCCGACCUGAGAGGGUGAUCGGCCACACUGGGACUGAGACACGGCCCAGACUCCUACGGAGGCAGCAGUAGGGAAUCUUCGGCAAUGGACGGAAGUCUGACCGAGCAACGCCGCGUGAGUGAAGAAGGUUUUCGGAUCGUAAAGCUCUGUUGUAAGAGAAGAACGAGUGUGAGAGUGGAAAGCUCACACUGUGACGGUAUCUUACCAGAAAGGGACGGCUAACUACGUG